rnacentral:tRNA from 1 species
CAUUGAAUGGCUGAAACAUUUAAGCAAUGGUCUCUUAAACCAAUUUAUAGUAUUUUUACUUUCAAUGA